rnacentral:rRNA from 1 species
GAGGAAUGUAUAGCAAUAGCUACUUGCAUCAUUGUAAAAAUGAUGCAGGAUCGACUAUGUCGAAUAAAAUUCUAGGUAGAAUUUUGAUAAUGACCUUGUCUGCCUAUGUGUCUUGACCAAAUUACGUGCCAGCAGUCGCGGUAAUACGUAGAAGACUAGUGUUAUUCAUGUUUAAUCGGUUUAAAGGGUACCUAGACGGUAAAUCAAGCCUAAAAUGAAGGGACUAAUUUACUAGAGUUACUUAUGAGGGGGUAUUAAAGUACUGCUGGUGUAGAGAUGAAAUUCUGUCAUACCUCUUUUCUAUAGAAAAAUAAUGGCACAGGUAUAGGCGAAAGCAUCCCCUUAUGUGAUAACUGACGUUGAGGGACGAAGGCUUUGUGUAGCGAACAGGAUUAGAUACCCCAGUAGUCAAAGCAGAAAAUGAUGAAUGUCAUAGAUUAGAUAAAUAAGUUUAUUCUAUAAAUGAAAGUGUAAGCAUUCCACCUCAAGAGUAAUUUGGCAACAUUGGAACUGAAAUCAUUAGACCGUUUCUGAAACCAGUAGUGAAGUAUGUUGUUUAAUUUGAUGAUCCGCAAAAAACCUUACCACAAUUUGAAUAUUUAUAUCUUUUAUUGUUUUUUUUUUAUUUUCUUCUGAUUUUAAAAAGAGGCGAUAUGAUAUAUUUACAAGCGUUGCACGGCUGUCUUCAGUUAAUGUCGCGAGACUUUGGUUAGUUCCAUUAAAUUAACGUAAACCCUUACUUUAUUUUUAUAUAGAGUAGUUCCCCGCUAUAUUGGAUAUGA